UACGAAGGGGGCAAGCGUUGUUCGGAAUUACUGGGCGUAAAGGGCGCGCAGGCGGCUGAUCAAGUCAGAUGUGAAAGCCCCGGGCUCAACCUGGGAAUAGCAUUUGGGACUGGUCGGCUAGAGUUCGGGAGAGGAGAGUGGAAUUCCCAGUGUAGAGGUGAAAUUCGUAGAUAUUGGGAAGAACACCCGUGGCGAAGGCGGCACUCUGGGACGGUACUGACGCUGAGACGCGAAAGCGUGGGGAGCGAACAGG
rnacentral:rRNA from 1 species